CAUGCUAGUUGCGCGACUUAGAUCGCAGCGGAAAGCUCAGUAACACGUGGCCAAACUACCCUGCAGAGGAGCAUAAUCUCGGGAAACUGAGGCUAAUACUCCAUACCGCACUCACGUUGGAAUACCGAGUGCUACAAACGCUCCGGCGCUGUAGGAUGUGGCUGCGGCCGAUUAGGUAGACGGUGGGGUAACGGCCCACCGUGCCGAUAAUCGGUACGGGUUGUGAGAGCAAGAGCCCGGAGACGGAAUCUGAGACAAGAUUCCGGGCCCUACGGGGCGCAGCAGGCGCGAAACCUUUACACCGCUCGCCAGUGCGAUAAGGGGACCCCAAGUGCGAGGGCAUACAGCCCUCGCUUUUGUGUACUGUAAGGUGGUACACGAAUAAGAGCUGGGCAAGACCGGUGCCAGCCGCCGCGGUAAUACCGGCAGCUCGAGUGAUGACCGAUUUUAUUGGGCCUAAAGCGUCCGUAGCUGGCCGCGUAGGUUCGUCGGGAAAUCCAUCCGCUCAACGGAUGGGCGUCCGGCGAAAACCACGUGGCUUGGGACCGGAAGGCUCGAGGGGUACGUCCGGGGUAGGAGUGAAAUCCCGUAAUCCUGGACGGACCGCCGAUGGCGAAAGCACCUCGAGAAGACGGAUCCGACAGUGAGGGACGAAAGCUGGGGUCUCGAACCGGAUUAGAUACCCGGGUAGUCCCAGCCGUAAACAAUGCCAAUUAGGUGUGGCACCGACUACGAGUCGGUGCUGUGCCGUAGGGAAGCCGAUAAAUUGGGCCGCCUGGGAAGUACGUCCGCAAGGAUGAAACUUAAAGGA
rnacentral:rRNA from 1 species